CCUACGGGAGGCAGCAGUGAGGAAUAUUGGUCAAUGGCCGAGAGGCUGAACCAGCCAAGUCGCGUGAGGGAUGACUGCCCUAUGGAUUGUAAACCUCUUUUGCCAGGGAGCAAAGUGACGCACGUGUGGGGGUUGGAGAGUACCCGGAGAAAAAGCAUCGGCUAACUCCGUGCCAGCAGCCGCGGUAAUACGGAGGAUGCGAGCGUUAUCCGGAUUUAUUGGGUUUAAAGGGUGCGUAGGCGGACGCUGAAGUCAGCGGUAAAAUCGUGGGGCUCAAACUCAUCCAGCCGUUGAAACUGGGUGCCUUGAGUGGGCGAGAAGUAGGCGGAAUGCGUGGUGUAGCGGUGAAAUGCAUAGAUAUCACGCAGAACUCCGAUUGCGAAGGCAGCGUACCGGCGCCCGACUGACGCUGAAGCACGAAGGCGUGGGUAUCGAACAGGAUUAGAUACCCGAGUAGUC
rnacentral:rRNA from 1 species